CCACACACAAAGCCGCUUGCAAAAUAAAGCCACAUUUGAGCCCAGGCCAGGGAUGAUGUUGAAAACAAUGCAGCUAAUAAGUCACUGGCUGCUGGAUGAAAUCAAACUGUUUUUGUUUUGUGGCAGUUUCUCAGCUUCUGGGGCAGCUCUUCCGCCCCAGGGGGAGAGCCUUGUGUCAGCCUCUGUCUUCCUCCGCUCCAGAGAUGCUGCCGCGUCCCCACAGGCCUGGGGCUCCUAGGGCAGACCUCAGUAACCCACACAUAUACUCAGUCACAUCUUCCACAGCAUGGGCUAAAUCACACCCUAGACCCAACCCCAAAAAGAAGAAAAAAUACCAGUUCCAUCCAGUGGCAAGAAACCUCAAAGGUGCAGAUGUCCAAAGCCGUCUAGUGGUUUGAUAUUUGCCCAGAGGCCUCACCCAUUGCUAUAGCCACGUGUCUAGGACUGAGCUGUGCACCGCUCUGGGCAUGGUGGAGGCCGCUGUAAGGAGACGACCCUUGCUUCGCAGGAAGGGGAGCCUGAAAUUCCCAGGGGCCGGAGGAGGCUGCACCGGAACUGCACCCCACCCAGGACUGCUGAGCUGAGAGGGUGCUGCCGCAGUGAAGGCUCUGCCACCUCACACUGUCAGGUCCCAAGCCUGUGAUCGCACCAGGAGAGGGUCAGAUUGUGCCUGGUGGGGUGGGCCCUGACUCUGCACUUUCCACCCUGUCCAAGAGACUUUGGGUCGCAUCUCUCUACAUAGCAGAAGAGUGGGGACAUAGGAGCCUGCCUCACGGAGUUGUGGGGUGGCCUGGGAGCAGGCUGGCCCCUGUGGGGAUUCUGUGGCCCGGCUCCCACCCACCAUGCCCCUGCCCAGCAGCCUCCCUGCAGGCUCCUGAGGGUUCAACCUGGUGCACAAUCUUCAGGCCUCUCCUGCCUUGACCUGCAGCCCUCCACACCCCAGACACACCCUUCUUCAGUGCUGUUGUUUUUUCAUUAUUAAAAUGUUAUAAGAGGAAUACAUUUUAGUUGCUUAAAUUCUGCAAUAGUGAAACAAUAAAGAUGGAGAUCACUCCUCCAGUUCCAUUCUACUCCUCAGAGCUACGUACCGUUGACAGUUGUACAUUUCACUCCAGAAAUACCUAUGACUGCACGCAGUUACAUAUGCAGGGAUUACAGGCGUGUAUACAUCCGUGUGACUGCGCACGCAGGAUUAUAAAAAUCAGAAACCAGCCCGUGCUGCCCGUGCUGUCGUGCAUCUUGAUGUUAUUUUCACUGGCUGAGUUGGAAGCAUUUCUCAAUGCCAGCGGGGCAGGCUUUGUGUUGGCUGCAUAGUUUUCUGUUGUGCAACGUCCUCCCUGCUGACAAGCAAUUAGAUGGCGCCACUUCCUUCCUUUGCUCAUACAAACCCUGAGGCACUGAACAUCCUAAAAGCGAAAUUUCUGGGUCCCAAGGAGUGUGCAUUUCUGAAUAUCACAAAGUGACCCAGCUGCCUCACAUCCUCCAUGGGGACCACACUCUGUCUUACUAUAGGAGAUCCUGGGAGCCCCACAUCCUUGCCAGUGCAGCACUACUAUUCCUUUCAAUUUUGCCCCCAAUGUAUUCUUGCUGUUUUAUUUUGAUUUCCCAGGUGACUGAGGAGGUGAAGCAUCUCUUCAGCCAUUCGCUGGCUAUGAGAAUUUCUUACCCUACAAACUGCCCAUUUCUUUCCUUUACCCAUUUUUUUCUACUGGGUUAUGUGAGUUUCUACUGACUGACUUAUAGAAGCCCAUUAUAUGUUAUGAUAUUAAUCUGUUGUCUGUGGUACAUGCUUUCAGUCUUUUCUCCCGGUCCAUCAGAUAUCUUUUAACUUUGUUUAUCAUGUAUUUG
ensembl:lncRNA